GGAGUCACGCCAGAAAUCUUACCCGGAGAGACAGCAGAAUGAAGGUCAAGCUGAAGACUUUACCAGACAAGCUGAGAGGUGGUGCAUGGCCGUCGCCAGCUCGUGCCGUGAGAUGUCCUGUUAAGUCAGGUAACGAGCGAGAUCCCUGCCUCUAGUUGCCACCAUUACUCUCAGGAGUAGUGGGGCGAAUUAGCGGGACCGCCGCAGUUAAUGCGGAGGAAGGAAGGGGCCACGGCAGGUCAGUAUGCCCCGAAACUCUGGGGCCACACGCGGGCUGCAAUGGUAGCGACAAUUGGUUUCGAAUCCGAAAGGAUGAGGUAAUCCACAAACGCUACCGCAGUUAUGACUGAGGGCUGCAACUCGCCCUCACGAAUAUGGAAUCCCUAGUAACUGCGUGUCAUUAUCGCGCGGUGAAUACGUCCCUGCUCCUUGCACACACCGCCCGUCGUUUCAUUGAAGUGAGCUUUUAGCGAGGUGACGCCUGAUUGGCGUUAUCGAACUUGAGGUUCGUGACAAGGGAAAAGUCGUAACAAGGUGACCGUAGGGGAACCUGCGGUCGGAUCA
rnacentral:rRNA from 1 species